GGUGGGCUGUGUGCGGGCGCCGGGAGGAAUCCCGGGCAGCCGAGAGGACGGGACGGGUAGCUGCCCGUCCUGCCCGUGAUGGGCGUCUCCGCUCUAUAAAUCGCAGUAUUGUGCUAUGGAACGCAGUUUGCCGAUUUGGCUCCUCGCUUUUGUUUAAGAUCUGAAGAAACCUUAAAGAAACUAAAAAAGAUGGCAUCCAACUUCGUGGCCAAUGGCGAUGAGAUCAACGAGCAGCACCACGACUACCACCAUCACCACGGCCACCACCACCAGGCGCCGUCGCCGCGUGGUCAGGCGCCGUCACCGCGCGGGGUUCGGCGGGCGUUGUCCUCGAACUCAGCGGCCUGCGGCCAGGGCGCCGCCGGCGGGUCGAUCCCCAAGUGCGUGUGUGCUCCCGCCACCCAUGCGGGUUCCUUCAAGUGCCGCCUCCACAGGACGAACUCCCACGGCCACUCGCCGCCCUCCCCAACGUCGAUCCCUCCUCCUCCGGCACCCGUGAACUCAUCCCGCACCCCUACCGUGGAAGCUCAGUGACCACAAAGAGGAUCGGCGAUUCCCGAUGGCUUUGGAGGGAUUCUUAAUUUGGUAUCUUUGUUGUCUCAUCCACCCAACCCUAUUCUUCCGCUGCUUCCCCCUUUUUAUGUAUGGAGGUGAGAGAGAGAGAGAGAGAGAGAGAGAGAGAGAGUUCUGUGUGUUCUUGGGGUGUACUAGUUGUUCUUGUAAAUAUGAUCUGUUUCUAUGAUCUAAAGCCAAAAAAAAAAAAAAAGAUAAAAAGGUGGUGUUGUGAUCUGUGCUUGCUUGAUCUGAUCACAACCAAGAAUUGGGUUCACAAAGCUACUGUAAGAAAUCAAGGAAUUAUUGUGUGUUUUUUGCAUCCAAGCAACAGGAUUGCUUUCAGUGACGAAGAUGAUUGUCUCCAGCAUAUUAAUGAAUUGCCUGUAUUCUGAUCAAGCAAUUGGCUGCUGGUGAUUGGAGUCAUCCACCGCCUACCCAAUUUUACCCAGGGAUGGGUUGUUGUCAUCAAGAAGCCCCGAGAAACCUGUGAAACUAUCCACAACGAAUCUUCCUGAUCAAAAGUUGCAACUCCUACAGAUCCACAGUGCAAAAGGAGGAGGAAAAGUGGCACGAGCCCUUUGAUUGCCUGUCUUCACGGGAUGCCAAUGCCUCAUCAAGUGGAAAAGCUUACGACAGCCAAGCCUUUCCGUCAGCGGUGGGUUGUUUCUGCUGCUGCUCCUCCUCCUCCUCCUCCUCCUCGUGGAUUUACCUCGAACAGUUUGUCUUCAUGCAGCCAGCUCCUGGGAGACAUGCAUGCAGCAAGGAGUGAGGAGGCCUGCCCAUGGGCCUCCUUAAGCUAGCUGAUGUACAGUAUAUCAUAUACAUCGACUCUCGUAACUUGAAAUUAUGUUCUCAUUAAACUGCAGGCUACAUGACCCUACUUGUGAUCUUUCUCAAAUCUCCUGCACCCGAGGACCCAAAGUCAAACCAAUCGUGGCUCGGUGGGAGGUCGACGUCGUUGGGCGUGUAGUGCGCGGCUGGACUGGUGGGUCUCACCCACUUGGCCGCACAUGUUCGUUCCAUUUUUCCCUUGAGGUAUGGUUCCUCUCUCUAUCCACGUGGUGAUGGAUGGAGUUGAUUAGAUUGCUGCACUCUUUAGGUCGCGCCCAUCAUCCGCAUCACAACCCUUGGAGGGUCUUGUCAUGUUCAGAAUCCUAGAAUGUAAAGCAUUGCAUUGCAAAUUUGGUAUUUCAAGUGGAACUUGUGAAAUAGGAGGCGUCUGAGGAUACUCCAAUAAAGGAUGCAAGGAGAGAAGGAAGUUCGAAGGAUGCUAAAGAUUUAUAUGAGGAAUGCAGCAUAUGCUUUAUGAA